GGGGAAACCCGGAUUAAUACCCCGUACCACUUGGAGGUGGCAUCACCUUUUAGUGAAAGCUUUAUUGUGGUUCAGGAUGGGCGUGCGGCUGAUUAGGUAGUUGGUUGGGGUAACGGCCCACCAAGCCAACGAUCAGUAACUGGUGUGAGAGCACGACCAGUCACACGGGCACUGAGACACGGGCCCGACUCCUACGGGAGGCAGCAGUAAGGAAUAUUGGGCAAUGGAGGCAACUCUGACCCAGCCAUGCCGCGUGGAGGAUGAAGGCCCUCUGGGUUGUAAACUUCUUUUACUUGGGACGAAACCUUUUUAUUCUUAGAAAGUUGACGGUACCAAGGGAAUAAGCACCGGCUAACUCCGUGCCAGCAGCCGCGGUAAUACGGAGGGUGCAAGCGUUAUCCGGAUUCACUGGGUUUAAAGGGUGCGUAGGCGGGCAGGUAAGUCCGUGGUGAAAUCUCCCGAGCUUAAACU
rnacentral:rRNA from 1 species